AUUGAACGCUGGCGGCAGGCCUAACACAUGCAAGUCGAGCGGUAGCACAGAGAGCUUGCUCUCGGGUGACGAGCGGCGGACGGGUGAGUAAUGUCUGGGAAACUGCCUGAUGGAGGGGGAUAACUACUGGAAACGGUAGCUAAUACCGCAUAACGUCGCAAGACCAAAGUGGGGGACCUUCGGGCCUCAUGCCAUCAGAUGUGCCCAGAUGGGAUUAGCUAGUAGGUGGGGUAAUGGCUCACCUAGGCGACGAUCCCUAGCUGGUCUGAGAGGAUGACCAGCCACACUGGAACUGAGACACGGUCCAGACUCCUACGGGAGGCAGCAGUGGGGAAUAUUGCACAAUGGGCGCAAGCCUGAUGCAGCCAUGCCGCGUGUGUGAAGAAGGCCUUCGGGUUGUAAAGCACUUUCAGCGGGGAGGAAGGCGAUAAGGUUAAUAACCUUGUCGAUUGACGUUACCCGCAGAAGAAGCACCGGCUAACUCCGUGCCAGCAGCCGCGGUAAUACGGAGGGUGCAAGCGUUAAUCGGAAUUACUGGGCGUAAAGCGCACGCAGGCGGUCUGUCAAGUCGGAUGUGAAAUCCCCGGGCUCAACCUGGGAACUGCAUUCGAAACUGGCAGGCUAGAGUCUUGUAGAGGGGGGUGGAAUUCCAGGUGUAGCGGUGAAAUGCGUAGAGAUCUGGAGGAAUACCGGUGGCGAAGGCGGCCCCCUGGACAAAGACUGACGCUCAGGUGCGAAAGCGUGGGGAGCAAACAGGAUUAGAUACCCUGGUAGUCCACGCCGUAAACGAUGUCGAUUUGGAGGUUGUGCCCUUGAGGCGUGGCUUCCGGAGCUAACGCGUUAAAUCGACCGCCUGGGGGGUACGGCCGCAAGGUUAAAACUCAAAUGAAUUGACGGGGGCCCGCACAAGCGGUGGAGCAUGUGGUUUAAUUCGAUGCAACGCGAAGAACCUUACCUGGUCUUGACAUCCACAGAACUUUCCAGAGAUGGAUUGGUGCCUUCGGGAACUGUGAGACAGGUGCUGCAUGGCUGUCGUCAGCUCGUGUUGUGAAAUGUUGGGUUAAGUCCCGCAACGAGCGCAACCCUUAUCCUUUGUUGCCAGCGGUUAGGCCGGGAACUCAAAGGAGACUGCCAGUGAUAAACUGGAGGAAGGUGGGGAUGACGUCAAGUCAUCAUGGCCCUUACGACCAGGGCUACACACGUGCUACAAUGGCAUAUACAAAGAGAAGCGACCUCGCGAGAGCAAGCGGACCUCAUAAAGUAUGUCGUAGUCCGGAUUGGAGUCUGCAACUCGACUCCAUGAAGUCGGAAUCGCUAGUAAUCGUAGAUCAGAAUGCUACGGUGAAUACGUUCCCGGGCCU
rnacentral:rRNA from 1 species